rnacentral:lncRNA from 1 species
AUGAUUAGGUUUCAAGUAAUUUACAAUAUUUAUAGUACACACACCUCCUCCUCAUGGAACAUUAUAAUAUUUAUAGUACACACCUCCUCCUCAUGGAACAUUAUAAUAUUUAUAGUACACACCUCCUCCUCCUCCUGGAAUAUUAUAAUAUUUAUAGUACACACCUCCUCCUCCUCAUGGAAUAUUAUAAUAUUUAUAGUACACACCUCCUCCUCCUCAUGGAAUAUUAUAAUAUUUAUAGUACACACCUCCUCCUCCUGGAAUAUUAUAAUAUUUAUAGUACACACCUCCUCCUCCUCAUGGAACAUUAUAAUAUUUAUAGUACACACCUCCUCCUCAUGGAACAUUAUAAUAUUUAUAGUACACACCUCCUCCUCCUCAUGGAAUAUUAUAAUAUUUAUAGUACACACCUCCUCCUCCUGGAAUAUUAUAAUAUUUAUAGUACACACCUCCUCCUCAUGGAAUAUUAUAAUAUUUAUAGUACACACCUCCUCCUCCUGGAAUAUUAUAAUAUUUAUAGUACACACCUCCUCCUCAUGGAAUAUUAUAAUAUUUAUAGUACACACCACCUCCUCCUCAUGGAACAUUAUAAUAUUUAUAGUACACACCUCCUCCUCCUCCUGGAACAUUAUAAUAUUUAUAGUACACACCUCCUCCACAUGUUAUAUUAUAAUAUUUAUAGUACACACCUCCUCCUCCUCAUGGAACAUUAUAAUAUUUAUAGUACACACCUCCUCCUCCUCCUGGAACAUUAUAAUAUUUAUAGUACACACCUCCUCCACAUGUUAUAUUAUAAUAUUUAUAGUACACACCUCCUCCUCCUCCUGGAACAUUAUAAUAUUUAUAGUACACACCUCCUCCUCAUGGAACAUUAUAAUAUUUAUAGUACACACCUCCUCCUCCUCAUGGAAUAUUAUAAUAUUUAUAGUACACACCUCCUCCUCAUGGAACAUUAUAAUAUUUAUAUUACACACCUCCUCCUCAUGUUAUAUUAUAAUAUUUAUAGUACACACCUCCUCCUCAUGGAAUAUUAUAAUAUUUAUAUUACACACCUCCUCCUCAUGUUAUAUUAUAAUAUUUAUAGUACACACCUCCUCCUCAUGGAAUAUUAUAAUAUUUAUAUUACACACCUCCUCCUCAUGUUAUAUUAUAAUAUUUAUAGUACACACCUCCUCCACAUGGAACAUUAUAAUAUUUAUAGUACACACCUCCUCCACAUGGAACAUUACAAUAUUUAUAUUACACACCUCCUCCUCCUCAUGGAACAUUAUAAUAUUUAUAGUACACACCUCCUCCUCAUGUUAUAUUAUAAUAUUUAUAGUACACACCUCCUCCUCAUGGAACAUUAUAAUAUUUAUAGUACACACCUCCUCCUCAUGGAAUAUUAUAAUAUUUAUAGUACACACCUCCCCCUCAUGGAACAUUAUAAUAUUUAUAGUACACACCUCCCCCUCAUGGAACAUUAUAAUAUUUAUAGUACACACCUCCUCCUCCUGGAACAUUAUA